UAUGUGUCUGUCCCUCCUGGGGGCGGGAGCCGAAUCUCCCGAGCUCCUCCCCUCCCACAAGGGAAAGGCAACAAGCCCAAUCCUGUGCAGGUCUCCUGCAGCUAACCACAGCAGCUGGCGACUCAGGAGGACCCGUUCUCUUGCCCCAGUGGGCACACCUUUCCUGGCGUGUUGAUUGUGAAGUACACAGAAUCCAGAGCUGAGCAGAGCUGUUGGUGACAUUCUCCCUCAGCAGCUUGCAUCCCGCCCUCCGGCACCACAAAAGCUAGCCAGAGAGGGAAGGCGUUUCCAGCCCGGUCCCAGCUGAUGGCUCCGUCUUCAGCUUUAGGGUCUUAUUGUCUAAUUCUGGAAUGCAAGCAGCAUGAAUCUCCAAAUCUGUAGGACGCUCAGAGGCACAACUCUAAAGAAACCUUUUACGGAGGGUGGGCAGGGUCUCUGAAGGCCCACCCCCUGCCCAUUCCAAGAACCUGACUCACUUGCCUCUGUAAACCAUCCAGACCCGCUGAAGCCUCUGUUGCCUGAAUGAUGCUCUUCUACCAGGGAGCUCAGCACCAUCACAAAAGCCCCACAGCAGUCCUGAGGUCCCUGGGAAUCAGCCUCUUUCUUAAUGCUCCAAGGAAGAUGGCCCUGUUUGGCACAGUGGACCAGGCAUCAGACACGUCCUCUCUCGUGUGCUAUGCACUCAAUAGUGCCUGUGCUUCUUGCUUUCCUCCAGUCCCUGGUGCUCACGGGGACCAUGGCUGAAAAUAACCUGCCCUACUUCAUGCUCAUAUACAACCACUCCAAAGUGACUGACUUGCCUCAUACAGCCCCAGAUUAUUCAGCCUUUGUCUUAAAGAGGCAUGGGUAGCUAUGUCGCUCAGUUGCUCCAUUUGCAUAGUUUUCAGACUAACCCCAUUUGCCCCCAUGUGGUGGAACAAUCUUUUUGUACACUGCAAAGGUGUAUUGCUCUCAUUGGUUAAAUGGCCAAUAGCUAGGCAGGAAGAGGUUAGGUGGGACUUGCAGACAGGAAGAGAACGCAGGGAUGAAGAAGGG